CCUACGGGCUGCAGCAGUGGGGAAUAUUGCACAAUGGGCGCAAGCCUGAUGCAGCCAUGCCGCGUGUAUGAAGAAGGCCUUCGGGUUGUAAAGUACUUUCAGCGGGGAGGAAGGCGAUAAGGUUAAUAACCUUGUCGAUUGACGUUACCCGCAGAAGGAGCACCGGCUAACUCCGUGCCAGCAGCCGCGGUAAUACGGAGGGUGCAAGCGUUAAUCGGAAAUACUGGGCGUAAAGCGCACGCAGGCGGUCUGUCAAGUCGGAUGUGAAAUCCCCGGGCUCGACCUGGGAACUGCAUUCGAAACUGGCAGGCUAGAGUCUUGUAGAGGGGGGUAGAAUUCCAGGUGUAGCGGUGAAAUGCGUAGAGAUCUGGAGGAAUACCGGUGGCGAAGGCGGCCCCCUGGACAAAGACUGACGCUCAGGUGCGUAAGCGUGGGGAGCAAACAGGAUUAGAUACCAUUGUAGUC
rnacentral:rRNA from 1 species